UAGUCGGUUGUGACCCUCCCUACGAAGCAAGAGAUCCCGGAUUCAAAUCCUGGUAAGGGCAUAAUAUUUUGCGAUGCGUACAAAUAUUUGUUCCUGAGUCAUGGGUGUUUUCUAUGUAUUUAAGUAUUUAUAAAUAUUUAUAUAUUAUAUAUAUAUA